rnacentral:lncRNA from 1 species
GCCGGCACCCCGAGUUCUAGUCUCAUUUGGGGAGCCGGAUUCUGUCCCAGUUGCUCCUCUUCCAGGCCAGCUCUCUGCUGUGACCCAGGAAGGCAGUGGAGGAUGGCCCAGGUGCUUGGGCCCUGCACCCGCAUGGGAGACCAGAAGGAAGCACCUGGCUCCUGGCUUUGGAUCAGCGCAGCGCCAGCCUUAGUGGCCAUUUUGGGGUGAACCAAUGGAAGGAAGACCUUUCUCUCUCUGUCUCUCUCUCUCUCUCUCUCUCUGUCUAACUCUGCCUGUCAAAAAAAAAAAAAAAAAAAAAAGCAUACUGCAGCUUCAAGAUGGAAUGCAUCUCUGUGUAUGUCCAAGCAUCCUACGGUCAUGUGGCAUCAGGUUCUGGCUCAGAGCCGCUGCCAAUUAAGAACAAUUAAGGGCAGGAACCUGAAGCAGAUCCCCCGGCUGCUGGGGAGAGGGGAGGGGGCUCGGGUGGGAGGGAGGCACUGCCCUUCCACAGCCUGGCCUCGUGGACCCCGGGAUAUGAUGGCUGACUCUCUGAGUGUGGAGCAGCAUGAGCUGUGCUUUCAUACCCUCUCCCAAUGCCUCGGCCAAGUUCAGCCAGGAGGCAACAUUGUGUUGCCUUCCCAAGGCCCCAGAAAGGGCUGCUCCCCCACCUGCUCCAGCUGCCUGCCUCUCCCCUUUGUCCCCCCGCCCCCUGCCUGCAGCCACAGCUGUGUUUACUUCCCUGGAAACGGGCACCUUUGUGAAGACCAAGUUUGCAGGCAGCAAAACCCAAGGCACCCACUGUGGACUCGUCUUUCACGGAAGUGGAGCGUCUGUCCCAGACACUGGCUUAAGGAAGUACCUGGAAAUUUCGUGGU